CGGGACACGUGGUAUCCUGUCUGAAUAUGGGGGGACCAUCCUCCAAGGCUAAAUACUCCUGACUGACCGAUAGUGAACCAGUACCGUGAGGGAAAGGCGAAAAGAACCCCGGCGAGGGGAGUGAAAAAGAACCUGAAACCGUGUACGUACAAGCAGUGGGAGCCUCUUUAUGGGGUGACUGCGUACCUUUUGUAUAAUGGGUCAGCGACUUAUAUUCUGUAGCAAGGUUAACCGAAUAGGGGAGCCGAAGGGAAACCGAGUCUUAACUGGGCGUUAAGUUGCAGGGUAUAGACCCGAAACCCGGUGAUCUAGCCAUGGGCAGGUUGAAGGUUGGGUAACACUAACUGGAGGACCGAACCGACUAAUGUUGAAAAAUUAGCGGAUGACUUGUGGCUGGGGGUGAAAGGCCAAUCAAACCGGGAGAUAGCUGGUUCUCCCCGAAAGCUAUUUAGGUAGCGCCUCGUGAAUUCAUCUCCGGGGGUAGAGCACUGUUUCGGCAAGGGGGUCAUCCCGACUUACCAACCCGAUGCAAACUGCGAAUACCGGAGAAUGUUAUCACGGGAGACACACGGCGGGUGCUAACGUCCGUCGUGAAGAGGGAAACAACCCAGACCGCCAGCUAAGGUCCCAAAGUCAUGGUUAAGUGGGAAACGAUGUGGGAAGGCCCAGACAGCCAGGAUGUUGGCUUAGAAGCAGCCAUCAUUUAAAGAAAGCGUAAUAGCUCACUGGUCGAGUCGGCCUGCGCGGAAGAUGUAACGGGGCUAAACCAUGCACCGAAGCUGCGGCAGCGACACUAUGUGUUGUUGGGUAGGGGAGCGUUCUGUAAGCCUGUGAAGGUGUGCUGUGAGGUAUGCUGGAGGUAUCAGAAGUGCGAAUGCUGACAUAAGUAACGAUAAAGCGGGUGAAAAGCCCGCUCGCCGGAAGACCAAGGGUUCCUGUCCAACGUUAAUCGGGGCAGGGUGAGUCGACCCCUAAGGCGAGGCCGAAAGGCGUAGUCGAUGGGAAACAGGUUAAUAUUCCUGUACUUGGUGUUACUGCGAAGGGGGGACGGAGAAGGCUAUGUUGGCCGGGCGACGGUUGUCCCGGUUUAAGCGUGUAGGCUGGUUUUCCAGGCAAAUCCGGAAAAUCAAGGCUGAGGCGUGAUGACGAGGCACUACGGUGCUGAAGCAACAAAUGCCCUGCUUCCAGGAAAAGCCUCUAAGCAUCAGGUAACAUCAAAUCGUACCCCAAACCGACACAGGUGGUCAGGUAGAGAAUACCAAGGCGCUUGAGAGAACUCGGGUGAAGGAACUAGGCAAAAUGGUGCCGUAACUUCGGGAGAAGGCACGCUGAUAUGUAGGUGAAGUCCCUUGCGGAUGGAGCUGAAAUCAGUCGAAGAUACCAGCUGGCUGCAACUGUUUAUUAAAAACACAGCACUGUGCAAACACGAAAGUGGACGUAUACGGUGUGACGCCUGCCCGGUGCCGGAAGGUUAAUUGAUGGGGUUAGCGGUAACGCGAAGCUCUUGAUCGAAGCCCCGGUAAACGGCGGCCGUAACUAUAACGGUCCUAAGGUAGCGAAAUUCCUUGUCGGGUAAGUUCCGACCUGCACGAAUGGCGUAAUGAUGGCCAGGCUGUCUCCACCCGAGACUCAGUGAAAUUGAACUCGCUGUGAAGAUGCAGUGUACCCGCGGCAAGACGGAAAGACCCCGUGAACCUUUACUAUAGCUUGACACUGAACAUUGAGCCUUGAUGUGUAGGAUAGGUGGGAGGCUUUGAAGUGUGGACGCCAGUCUGCAUGGAGCCGACCUUGAAAUACCACCCUUUAAUGUUUGAUGUUCUAACGUUGGCCCCUAAUCGGGGUUGCGGACAGUGUCUGGUGGGUAGUUUGACUGGGGCGGUCUCCUCCUAAAGAGUAACGGAGGAGCACGAAGGUUGGCUAAUCCUGGUCGGACAUCAGGAGGUUAGUGCAAUGGCAUAAGCCAGCUUAACUGCGAGCGUGACGGCGCGAGCAGGUGCGAAAGCAGGUCAUAGUGAUCCGGUGGUUCUGAAUGGAAGGGCCAUCGCUCAACGGAUAAAAGGUACUCCGGGGAUAACAGGCUGAUACCGCCCAAGAGUUCAUAUCGACGGCGGUGUUUGGCACCUCGAUGUCGGCUCAUCACAUCCUGGGGCUGAAGUAGGUCCCAAGGGUAUGGCUGUUCGCCAUUUAAAGUGGUACGCGAGCUGGGUUUAGAACGUCGUGAGACAGUUCGGUCCCUAUCUGCCGUGGGCGCUGGAGAACUGAGGGGGGCUGCUCCUAGUACGAGAGGACCGGAGUGGACGCAUCACUGGUGUUCGGGUUGUCAUGCCAAUGGCACUGCCCGGUAGCUAAAUGCGGAAGAGAUAAGUGCUGAAAGCAUCUAAGCACGAAACUUGCCCCGAGAUGAGUUCUCCCUGACCCUUUAAGGGUCCUGAAGGAACGUUGAAGACGACGACGUUGAUAGGCCGGGUGUGUAAGCGCAGCGAUGCGUUGAGCUAACCGGUACUAAUGAACCGUGAGGCUUAACCUUACAACGCCGAAG
rnacentral:rRNA from 1 species